UACGAAGGUGGCAAGCGUUGUUCGGAUUUACUGGGCGUACAGGGAGCGUAGGCGGUUGGGUAAGCCCUCCGUGAAAUCUCCGGGCCUAACCCGGAAAGUGCGGAGGGGACUGCUCGGCUAGAGGAUGGGAGAGGAGCGCGGAAUUCCCGGUGUAGCGGUGAAAUGCGUAGAGAUCGGGAGGAAGGCCGGUGGCGAAGGCGGCGCUCUGGGAACAUUUCUGACGCUGAGGCUCGAAAGCGUGGGGAGCAAACAGGG
rnacentral:rRNA from 1 species